rnacentral:rRNA from 1 species
GAUGAACGCUGGCGGCGUGCCUAAUACAUGCAAGUCGAGCGAACAGACGAGGAGCUUGCUCCUCUGACGUUAGCGGCGGACGGGUGAGUAACACGUGGAUAACCUACCUAUAAGACUGGGAUAACUUCGGGAAACCGGAGCUAAUACCGGAUAAUAUAUUGAACCGCAUGGUUCAAUAGUGAAAGACGGUUUUGCUGUCACUUAUAGAUGGAUCCGCGCCGCAUUAGCUAGUUGGUAAGGUAACGGCUUACCAAGGCAACGUUGCGUAGCCGACCUGAGAGGGUGAUCGGCCACACUGGAACUGAGACACGGUCCAGACUCCUACGGGAGGCAGCAGUAGGGAAUCUUCCGCAAUGGGCGAAAGCCUGACGGAGCAACGCCGCGUGAGUGAUGAAGGUCUUCGGAUCGUAAAACUCUGUUAUUAGGGAAGAACAAAUGUGUAAGUAACUAUGCACGUCUUGACGGUACCUAAUCAGAAAGGCACGGCUAACUACGUG